ensembl:lncRNA
UUUCUUGUGAGUGCUUAACUGCCUGAAGAGAGAGUCCAGAGGGGCUGUGAAAUCAGACCCUGGAGGCUUCUCUGUAGUGCCAUGCUAAUCAGGGUUAUUUUACUCCCUGAGACUUCAUUUCUGCUUCCAGGAGUUGGUGGCAAAAUAAGCUUUCAUUUUCUCACAACAGCACAUUCCCAGGAAAGGGCCCUUGUCCUGAAGUCCUCUGUGACAUUCUGUCCUUGGUCUCACAGGUGGCUCAACUGUCUUCCCAGAUCCCCCAGGAUUGCGCCCCUCCUUAAUCAAAGGGCUGGUCAGUGAAUGUACCCAGGUCAUUAAUUGCGUGGAGCUCGGGCAGUUUGUGCACUGUCCUCCCCUUCUUCAGUUCUCCUGGGUCCAUCCCUCAUCAGCUAAGCUAUGUGAAGUAGCUUAAUUGACAUUGCAACAUCGCACAUCACACCGAGUGCGUGUGAACUGCCGACUAGAUAAAGCCUGACGUGACUGGACACUGGUGGGCAGACAGCCCCCAGAACCACAGGCGGUUCCAGAUGUUUUUGUCGAGGCUGGCACAGUUCCAGUCACUUCUGAGCUGGCCUUUCCAGUUUCUCCAGGUCUCAACUCCACGCACCGGGUGUUGGCAGGCGCGGGGAAAAUAUUCCUCAGGCUUUGAUCUCCAUCUCUGCUGCGGGCCCUGUUCCGUUGACCUCAGCCACGUCGCUGCCCUCCCGUGUAUAAGAAAUCCGCCAAGAUGGCGCCCCUGGCCAAUACUUCCAGACCGCCGACGGAGACGCUCAUGGCACGGCCGCACUCUGCAGUGUUCUGUGGGUCGGGAAAGCUCAUAAGUUGUUAUUUGCCUCCUCCCCCAGUAAGGAGGGAACUUGCUGGCAAACCUCAAGGCAGAGUUAACUGGAAGAGUGAAACGUGUCACCGUAACAGAAGCAACACUCACAUCACCCUAUUCUUCUCAUAUUCACUGCAGACUUGAUUGUUAUGAUCUGGGUAAAAAUGCUGGUCAUCAAAGCGUCUGUUCCCAAAUCAAUGCCUGUGAUUCAUAACAGGUCUGGGAGCUGAUACCACAACCUCAUGGUCUGGAAACCCCUGUCAUUGUAACUAAGCAAGGUUCAAGUUUACAAGAGAGUAUAAAGUAUAUAGUUCCCACUGGAG